rnacentral:lncRNA from 1 species
ACUUCUCUGCUGGUCCCUGCCUGUGUAAACACCAUGACUCUGGGUUCUGCUCAGCAGACUGAAGGGAACACAACUAUGAUGAUUCUCUAUGCUGUACUUGGAGAAGGCUGGUUAGUCAUAAGUUUUAAAGCAGGUUUUUAGAUCAAAAAGAAUUGUACUCAAGGAAUUGAAGCUAUGGAGCCUCUGCCACAUCUGGACCUGAUUUUGAUGACAAGAUCCUGUACCUCAAGCCCGAGACUAAUUUCAUAAUUUGAUGAAUCUUUUUGGAGAGUCAUGGGAGGAAUGUAAACAAUUUGUGGCCAAAGGAGAAUUAUGGUAGUUUGAAGAUGUGGAUACAAAUUAUUUGACAUUCUUCUCAUAGAAAGGUAACUCCAUAGCUGGGAGCCAAGUCUCGAAGCCCCAUGAGGGGAAGUGGAUACAUCUCAGAAUUGGGUUUCCUGAUACACACGACUGCAUCCUUCAUCUGCCAGGCCCUGGCAUUGUUUACUGGAGAAGAUGUCAUAGGAAAUUGGGCUAUGUCAUUGAGCCACUGGAGUCACACAUGAACAGCCAUUUGGAGAUUCUGGAAUUGAUGGUUCAGUUUAGGUAAACUGUAUGAUGUAGUGAAACAAUGUUGCCUGGAAUUCCUGAAGAGAAGACCAAUCACUAAAAUUUGAGACUACUGCACAAUUCUGAUAUCUGAAUCAUUUCCAUAGAUAGAUUUUGGUUAAAGCACCUGUGUAUAUUCUGUCAUUAUUAAUUUGUGUCUGCUUUUUUACGGUUUCUAAAAUCAUGUUUUUAAAUUUUACAAACUCAGGUAAAUAAAAUAAAACCACCCAUAAUCCUAUCACCUUAACACAGCCUUGGCCAAUAGUUUUUUUGUUAUAUAUAUUUUUAAGUCUUUUUUUCUAUUCACUCUUUUAAUUUACCUGUAGCCAUUGUGUACAUAAAAAUUUAUAUCUUCC